UGGGGAAUAUUGCACAAUGGGGGAAACCCUGAUGCAGCAACGCCGCGUGAGUGAAGAAGUAUUUCGGUAUGUAAAGCUCUAUCAGCAGGGAAGAUAAUGACGGUACCUGACUAAGAAGCUCCGGCUAAAUACGUGCCAGCAGCCGCGGUAAUACGUAUGGAGCAAGCGUUAUCCGGAUUUACUGGGUGUAAAGGGUGCGUAGGCGGCACAGCAAGUCAGAUGUGAAAGACCGGGGCUCAACCCCGGGGCUGCAUUUGAAACUGCCGAGCUUGAGUCCGGGAGAGGCAGGCGGAAUUCCUAGUGUAGCGGUGAAAUGCGUAGAUAUUAGGAGGAACACCAGUGGCGAAGGCGGCCUGCUGGACCGGAACUGACGCUGAGGCACGAAAGCGUGGGGAGCAAACAGGAUUAGAUACCC
rnacentral:rRNA from 1 species